rnacentral:rRNA from 1 species
UACAGAGGUCUCAAGCGUUGUUCGGAUUCACUGGGCGUAAAGGGUGCGUAGGCGGCGCGGUAAGUCGGGUGUGAAAUCUCGGAGCUUAACUCCGAAACUGCAUUCGAUACUGCGGUGCUUGAGGACUGGAGAGGAGACUGGAAUUCAUGGUGUAGCAGUGAAAUGCGCAGAUAUCAGGAGGAACACCGGUGGCGAAGGCGGUUCUCUGGGCAUUACCUGACGCUGAGGAGCGAAAGUGUGGGGAGCGAACAGG